UGGGGAAUAUUGGACAAUGGGCGAAAGCCUGAUCCAGCCAUGCCGCGUGUGUGAAGAAGGUCUUCGGAUUGUAAAGCACUUUAAGUUGGGAGGAAGGGCAUUAACCUAAUACGUUAGUGUUUUGACGUUACCGACAGAAUAAGCACCGGCUAACUCUGUGCCAGCAGCCGCGGUCAUACAGAGGGUGCAAGCGUUAAUCGGCAUUACUGGGCGUAAAGCGCGCGUAGGUGGUUUGUUAAGUUGGAUGUGAAAUCCCCGGGCUCAACCUGGGAACUGCAUUCAAAACUGACUGACUAGAGUAUGGUAGAGGGUGGUGGAAUUUCCUGUGUAGCGGUGAAAUGCGUAGAUAUAGGAAGGAACACCAGUGGCGAAGGCGACCACCUGGACUAAUACUGACACUGAGGUGCGAAAGCGUGGGGAGCAAACA
rnacentral:rRNA from 1 species